UGGGAACGUGCCUUUUGGUUCGGAACAAACCCAGGGAAACUUGGGCUAAUACCGGAUAAGCCCUUACGGGGAAAGAUUUAUCGCCAAAGGAUCGGCCCGCGUCUGAUUAGCUAGUUGGUAGGGUAAUGGCCUACCAAGGCUACGAUCAGUAGCUGGUCUGAGAGGAUGAUCAGCCACAUUGGGACUGAGACACGGCCCAAACUCCUACGGGAGGCAG
rnacentral:rRNA from 1 species